CUGUUCCCUGGAGUUCCCCUGAUCACUUCACUGGGGCGCAUGGUCCUUCAUGCAGAAUAAAGGAUUGUCUCAACUACAGCCCUACUGAAGUGUUUGGGGGAACUUCGGGGGACAU
rnacentral:pre_miRNA from 1 species